UACGAAGGGGGCUAGCGUUGUUCGGAAUUACUGGGCGUAAAGGGCGCGUAGGCGGCCUGCUAAGUCGGAUGUGAAAUCCCUCGGCUCAACCGAGGAACUGCAUCCGAUACUGGCGGGCUUGAAUCCGGGAGAGGGAUGUGGAAUUCCAGGUGUAGCGGUGAAAUGCGUAGAUAUCUGGAGGAACACCGGUGGCGAAGGCGGCAUCCUGGACCGGUAUUGACGCUGAGGCG
rnacentral:rRNA from 1 species